CAUUGAGCAGUGGGAGAAACUUGCUUAGACGUAGACUGAGAGUCUAUGCUUUUGGUCCGCUUGAGACUCGGUGCUCGAUGAAGCCUGCAGCGGAACGAACCGGGGUGCGUGGUCGGAGAGCACAAACAACUGGUCCUAGUGACACUCGGCUGUGAUGAGUCCGGCGGAGAUGUUGGA